rnacentral:rRNA from 1 species
UACAGGGGGUGCAAGCGUUAUUCGGAAUUAUUGGGCGUAAAGAGCGUGUAGGCGGCUUAGUAAGUUUGGUGUGAAAUCCCUGGGCUCAAUCCAGGAAGUGCAUUGAAUACUACUAGGCUAGAGUAUAGGAGAGGAUGGCGGAAUUCCUGGUGUAGAGGUGAAAUUCGUAGAUAUCAGGAGGAACAACAGAGGCGAAGGCGGCCAUCUGGACUAUUAUUGACGCUAAGGCGCGAAAGUGUGGGGAGCAAACAGG